UACGAAGGGGGCUAGCGUUGCUCGGAAUUACUGGGCGUAAAGGGCGCGUAGGCGGGUUAUCAAGUUGGGGGUGAAAGCCCGGGGCUCAACCUCGGAAUUGCCUUCAAAACUGAUAACCUGGAGUAUGGAAGAGGUAAGUGGAACUCCGAGUGUAGAGGUGGAAUGCGUAGAGAUCCGGAAGAACACCGGUGGCGAAGGCGGCCUGCUGGGCAGUUGCUGACGCUGAGGCGCGACAGCGUGGGGAGCAAACAGG
rnacentral:rRNA from 1 species